GGGCCUAUAGCUGUGGGGCAGCUGGUUAGAGCGCACGCCUGAUAAGCGUGAGGUCGGUGGUUCGAGUCCAUUUAAGGCCCACCA
rnacentral:tRNA from 1 species